rnacentral:rRNA from 1 species
GAUGAACGCUGGCGGCGUGCCUAAUACAUGCAAGUCGAGCGAACGGACGAGAAGCUUGCUUCUCUGAUGUUAGCGGCGGACGGGUGAGUAACACGUGGAUAACCUACCUAUAAGACUGGGAUAACUUCGGGAAACCGGAGCUAAUACCGGAUGAUAUUUUGAACCGCAUGGUUCAAAAGUGAAAGAAGGUCUUGCUGUCACUUAUAGAUGGAUCCGCGCUGCAUUAGCUAGUUGGUAAGGUAACGGCUUACCAAGGCAACGAUGCAUAGCCGACCUGAGAGGGGGGUCGGCCACACUGGAACUGAGACACGGUCCAGACUCCUACGGGAGGCAGCAGUAGGGAAUCUUCCGCAAUGGGCGAAAGCCUGACGGAGCAACGCCGCGUGGGUGAUGAAGGGCUUCGGAUCGUAAAACUCUGUUAUUAGGGAAGAACAUAUGUGUAAGUAACUGUGCACAUCUUGACGGUACCUAAUCAGAAAGCCACGGCUAACUACGUG